ACUUACGAUAUUAUUAUUAUGAUCAAAAUUAACCAGGAAUAAGUCAAGGAAAAAAAUUAGUCAAGUCAAAACCUUCAUCGUGUCGUUCAACUGAUGUAAACAAUUUACAGGGGAAAAUGAAAACAAUCAACUCAAACUUGAUGUCUCCCUAAUAACUCCAAGUACCUAAUGGGUUAUUAAAAGAAAAAGAUUCUUAUUAUUAGCUUAAUUAAACUAACCCCAAGCAGAAUAUCAAUUAAUUUUUGAUAGUAAACAAAAAGCUUAUCGACAUCUGGUUACCUGGAUUUAAAAAAGUUAACGAAAGAAUCAAGGUAAGCAAAAAGAGUCCAAGAAAUGUGAUCUUAAUUAUUAGACUUAAAUUACCAGUGAAAGUGAUAGAUUUGUUUAUAAUAAUGGUUAAUCAAUACUUCGGAAUCGCUCGCAGCCCGAAAAAGGUCAAAAGAGGAAAACAAAGGAAACAAACAACAACAAUACUCACAAAGUUUUGGACUCUCACACAACCGAAUAAGUUAAAUACGUAAAAAAAUUGAUUGUAUUUCCUAUUCAUCAUCUUCAGCUUGGCCUUUUCUUUUUCCUCGACUCUCCAUCAUAUUACCUUUCCUACUCUCAUCGGAGACCAACAAUCAAACGAGGAAGGCUUAUUAUGCUUCCUCGCCAAAACCAAUCAUUCAAAUGUACCUUGAAAACCAUGACCAUCUCUUGGGACUAUCAAGUCAAAAGCAAAGGUACAAACAUAAAGCAAAGAGACAGUGAAUCCAAAAGACUUCGUAUUUAACAAUCUCAGCUUUAACUUUACACAAACACACUUCCGAUACGUGUGCACCCUGUACGUGCUCAUAAAAAGUGUAUCAUGGUAACAGUGAUGCGAAAACAAAAUUUGAUAUUUUAUCCGACCAAAAGUGAUAACAAUUUGAUAAUUAUCAAUUUUAAAUACUUCGAUAGAUUUGAUAAUAAAAAUGUUAAAUAUCAAAGUUGAUCAACUAAUCAAUAUCAUCAUCAUAUUAGUGCUAAGUAUGAGUGUUUUUUUUAAACAAUUAGAUUAUAAUCAAAACGAGCAUAUUUUCAUGGAAGGACAAGGAAAAGUUAAAUUGAAUAAAUGGAACCCUGUUUACUGAAUAUACAUGAAGAUGAAGAAGAUAAAAUUGAUGAUAAAAAACAACAACAAACAAGAUGAAGAUAGUGAUGACCAAACCCCAAGAACAAGGAGGAGACUUGAAGAAAAGAUGAAAAAGAAAGUAUAGAAAAGAACUGCCCAAAAAAAGAGAAAUAGGAGGAACCCACCGGAGGGAAAAAACAGAGAGAGAGAGAGAUGAGAGAGAGAGAGAAAGAAAGAACCAAGCAAAAGAAGGAGAAAAAAACAACUACUCCCUAAUUCCACCCCUGAAGAGGUGGGGUGGGAAAUUGAAUAUGUUUUCCCUUCAACCUUUCCUCUCAAGGCUAAUAAUGCAACUACAAGCAAGGGGAUGGAGAGUAAAAGAUGAUGAAAAAGAUUGGCCAAUUUUUUAUGGGAAAUGAAAAAGAUGAAGAUGAAAAUGAUGAUGAUGGAGAAAGGAAGUUAUAUAAAGAAAAGAGAGAAACUCGAAAGAGAGAAAGAGAAAGAGAGAGAAGUGAUUCUUACGGUUAAUUUGGUAACUGAGAGGCUAUUCAUCGAGUUAACAGUUCGUAAAUCUUAUAAAUCAAUUUGCCUACUCAACCCAAACAAAACUCUAACAUUUUCAUCACUUUAUCAUCAUCAGCUGAUUUACAGGUAUAUUUAUUUAUCCAUAACAAAGUGAUCAACAAGAUGUGAUAAAUUUUCUGUCAUGAAUAAUAUCUUUGUGUUCAUUUGGAAACAAUUUAUUAAUCAUUAUCAGCUCUCUCUCUCUCUCACUCACUCACUCACUCACUCUCUCGCUACACCAAUUAAAAAGCAACAAAUUAUAUUAUCAUUUGUUGUAAAACUUUUUCCUUGUUGAUUGUUGAUCCCUUUCUUUUUUGUUUGCUUGAGAAAUGAUUAAUUGUUGUUGUUUGUUGUUCAAUGUUAAAUACUUGUAAGUCUUUUCAUCAUCAAAUUGUAUUUCUUGUUCUUUCACCUUCAUUACCACCAUAACCUCCUCUCCAUCCUCAUCCUUUCCUCUUCCUCCUUUUUUGACACCUUUUAUUUUUCUUGGUUUCUACCUUUUCAUCAUUGAAUUAUAUUAAUGAUCCCUCGGUGGAUGACAAUGAUUAUGAUAUUAAACUGGAAAUGGACAAAUGGUUUACACAAUGGAUAAUUGGUCAGUAGUAUCUUGACCCAAUGACCAUUAUAAUAUUGUCAUUAGUAUUUGUAACAUGAUAAUAUUAAUGAUCAGAAAAAGUUGAAAAGAUGAACAAAAAAAAAUAUCAAUUUAAAUGUUACCUUUUCCAUCCCAUGUUAAUAUCUUCAUAGAUAAUUACCUCCCACAUUUUGUAUUCAUCUCUCUCUCUCUCUUUAUCAUCCUCAUUAUCCUCAUUAUAUUCAUCAUCUCUCUCUCUCUCUUUUCAUCUUAUAGUGUUAGGAACCAUUUUCAAGCAUAAGUUACCCUUAAAAGAUCAAUUUAAAUGUAAUUUGUAACAUUUUCAUCUCAAACCCUCCAUAUCCAAACCCGUGUUUUCCACUGUCUUUUUCCACCCUCUUCAUCCUCCUCCUACUCACUCUCUUUCUCAUCCCACCCCAGCCCCUCGUCUUCCUUUUCCUCUUUCACUUUGAAAGCUUAAUUUUGUUGUUAUUAUUUUUCUUUCAUUUUCCCAACAACCAAACAACAAUUCUCAUUGAAAUUUCACAGUUUUCCCCACUCAAGUAACAUUACCAACAUUUAUACAAUUUCCAUUCACAAAUUUACCUCCAUUCACCCACUCACCUUCCUCACCCACCCACCCACAAAUACACACCCCUUAUAGUCAUGAACCUCUAACACCAUCAUGGUCAUCAGAUUUAUACAUAAUUUCACAUCAACUUAAAUCCUUAAUUGUAGUAAUUAAAUUCACUUGUAACUUUAUCUUUCCCUUACCAAUGGUUUUAAUGACCAUUGGUCAAUCGUCCUAAAAGUGACGAAACUAAUUUUGUCUAAUGUCUUAAAUUACAUGAAAGAGACAAGAAAAUGUUUCAUGUUUUUUUUUCAUGUUAAAUCGUUAAUCAGAUUGAUUAAAUUGAGUUUAAUCUUUUGACAUUGAUUGUUGUUAGUAGAUGAUGCAAAGAGGAACAUUAUUCAACAUCAUCUUGAUGAUCAUCUUUUAUCAUCAUCAUCAUCAUGACAAGAAUUUUCUCCAGGAAUUCAAUCAAUCACAAUUGACGAGGAACGAAGAUGUUAGUCAUUUUGAAAUGUCUCGAAAGAAAAGAAAGCAAGAGAAAAGAAUAUAUGAAAAAAAUAUAAAAGAACAAAGUUUUUCUCUAUCAUCUUCUUCCUCCUCUUUUCAUCAUCAUCACCACCACACCCAACAAUCAACUGAUCAUUGAUUAUAAUCAACAGUCAACUACAAAUGAUUGAACAACAAUCAAGACAAAUUUGGUUACAGAAUGAAAAGAUUAAUAUUAUAUGGAAACAAAAAAGUGAAUCAAGUUAAUCCAAUAUUUUGAAUAAUCAGCUCAAGAAUAUUCAAUGAUAUUAACAAAAAGAUUCAAUAUUUAAUCAUCAUGUUUAUGAUUAAGAUUAAAAUGAAUUGAUGAAACCUCCCAAGAUCUGGAUUAAAAAGAUAAAUCAAAUUUAAAUCCGAUCAUUUAACUUUUUUUUCCUUCAUCUCUUCAUGUUGUAUAUUAUUCACCCUAAUCACUAUAAACUAUUAAUUGUUUGAUAUUAUUGGUUUUCAAUUAUCACAAUCAGUCAACAAUAUUAAACGUUAAUCUCUUAAUCCUAUUUCAUUGUUUUCAUUUAUCACUUUUUCAUCCUUUUCAUCAUCAUCAUCAAACAAGUUUACAGGUAAAUUCGGUUUACAUCAUUUUCAGAACAAAAAGAAAAACUUUUGAAACUUUUUUCUUUUUCUUUUUCCACCAUUCAAUUUUCUCUUUCUAUCAUCUUUUAAUCUUCCAUUAUCAUCAUUUCUUUAUCAUCAUCAUCAUCAUCAUACUCAUGGUAGCAUGAUAAUAAUCAGUAAUCAGUAGCCUGAGGCAAUGGGAGAUUAGAUUCGAGGAAAAGAAAAAGUGAAAAACUUUUUUUUUCCCAUUCGAUGAAUUUUCAAAUCUUUUUUUUCUUUAGUAAAAAAAACAUCAAAGUUAAUUGUUAGUUAAUUUUACAAUUAACCAGCUAACAGAUUAGAAAUUUAAAAUUGACAAUCAACAUAAUUAAUUUCAACGAAAACUACAAAUCGCUGAUUGUUGGUUAUAAAUGUUUCAAAUCUAAUUGCUGUUGACGAU